AUGAAGAUUGAUAUUUCCAAAGCCUUUGAUACUCUCUCCUGGGUUUUUUUGCUGGAGACCCUCAAAGCCAGGGGGUUUGGGGAUAGGUGGUGCUCAUGGAUCUGUGGCCUGUUGAGCUCCUCAUCGUCUUCCAUAAUUAUCAAUGGGGAACUCAGCGAUCCUUUCACCCUGGGUCAAGGUGUUCGUCAGGGCGAUUCGCUGUCUCCA
rnacentral:rRNA from 1 species